rnacentral:rRNA from 1 species
GUGGGGAAUCUUCCGCAAUGGACGAAAGUCUGACGGAGCAACGCCGCGUGAGUGAUGAAGGUCUUCGGAUUGUAAAGCUCUGUUAAUCGGGACGAAAGAGCCUAGUGUGAAUAAUGCUAGGAAGUGACGGUACCGGAAUAGAAAGCCACGGCUAACUACGUGCCAGCAGCCGCGGUAAUACGUAGGUGGCAAGCGUUGUCCGGACUUAUUGGGCGUAAAGCGCGCGCAGGCGGAUCUGCCAGUCUGUCUUAAAAGUUCGGGGCUUAACCCCGUGAUGGGAUGGAAACUACAGAUCUAGAGUAUCGGAGAGGAAAGUGGAAUUCCUAGUGUAGCGGUGAAAUGCGUAGAUAUUAGGAAGAACACCAGUGGCGAAGGCGACUUUCUGGACGAAAACUGACGCUGAGGCGCGAAAGCCAGGGGAGCGAACGGGAUUAGAUACCCUUGUAGUCC